UAGCGUAUAUUAAAGUUGUUGCAGUUAAAAAGCUCGUAGUCGGAUUUCGGGGCGGGCCGAGCGGUCUGCCGAUGGGUAUGCACUGUUCGGCGCGUCCUUCUUUCCGGAGACCGCGCCUACUCUUAGCUGAGCGGGCGCGGGAGACGGAUCGUUUACUUUGAAAAAAUCAGAGUGUUUCAAGCAGGCAGCUCGCUCUUGCAUGGAUUAGCAUGGGAUAAUGAAAUAGGACUCUGGUGCUAUUUUGUUGGUUUCGAACACCGGAGUAAUGAUUAACAGGGACAGUCAGGGGCACUCGUAUUCCGUCGAGAGAGGUGAAAUUCUCAGACCAAUGGAAGACGAACUACUGCGAAAGCAUUUG
rnacentral:rRNA from 1 species